AGAGUUUGAUCCUGGCUCAGAUUGAACGCUGGCGGAAUGCUUUACACAUGCAAGUCGAACGGCAGCACGGGGGCAACCCUGGUGGCGAGUGGCGAACGGGUGAGUAAUGUAUCGGAACGUACCCAGUCGUGGGGGAUAACUAUCCGAAAGGAUAGCUAAUACCGCAUACGUCCUGAGGGAGAAAGCGGGGGAUCGCAAGACCUCGCGCGAUUGGAGCGGCCGAUAUCGGAUUAGCUAGUUGGUGAGGUAAAGGCUCACCAAGGCGACGAUCCGUAGCGGGUCUGAGAGGACGACCCGCCACACUGGAACUGAGACACGGUCCAGACUCCUACGGGAGGC
rnacentral:rRNA from 1 species